UAGUCCACGCCGUAAACGAUGAAUGCCAGACGUCGGGCGGCUUGCCGUUCGGUGUCGCAGUUAACGCAUUAAGCAUUCCGCCUGGGGAGUACGGUCGCAAGAUUAAAACUCAAAUGAAUUGACGGGGGCCCGCACAAGCGGUGGAGCAUGUGGUUUAAUUCGAUGCAACGCGAAGAACCUUACCAGGUCUUGACAUCCAGAGAACUUUCCAGAGAUGGAUUGGUGCCUUCGGGAGCUCUGUGACAGGUGCUGCAUGGCUGUCGUCAGCUCGUGUCGUGAGAUGUUGGGUUAAGUCCCGUAACGAGCGCAACCCUUGUCCUUAGUUGCCAGCGCGUAAUGGCGGGAACUCUAAGGAGACUGCCGGUGACAAACCGGAGGAAGGUGGGGACGACGUCAAGCCAUCAUGGCCCUUACGACCUGGGCUACACACGUGCUACAAUGGAACGCACAGAGGGCAGCAAACCCGCGAGGGGGAGCGAAUCCCACAAAACGUUUCGUAGUCCGGA
rnacentral:rRNA from 1 species